UAGAGUUUGAUCCUGGCUCAGAUUGAACGCUGGCGGCAUGCCUUACACAUGCAAGUCGAACGGCAGCACGGGAGCUUGCUCCUGGUGGCGAGUGGCGAACGGGUGAGUAAUGCAUCGGAACGUGCCCUGAAGUGGGGGAUAACGCAGCGAAAGUUGCGCUAAUACCGCAUAUUCUGUGAGCAGGAAAGCAGGGGAUCGCAAGACCUUGCGCUUUAGGAGCGGCCGAUGUCGGAUUAGCUAGUUGGUGGGGUAAAGGCUCACCAAGGCGACGAUCCGUAGCGGGUCUGAGAGGAUGAUCCGCCACACUGGGACUGAGACACGGCCCAGACUCCUACGGGAGGCAGCAGUGGGGAAUUUUGGACAAUGGGCGCAAGCCUGAUCCAGCCAUGCCGCGUGAGUGAAGAAGGCCUUCGGGUUGUAAAGCUCUUUCGGCGGGGAAGAAAUCGCAUUCUCUAAUACAGGAUGUGGAUGACGGUACCCGAAUAAGAAGCACCGGCUAACUACGUGCCAGCAGCCGCGGUAAUA
rnacentral:rRNA from 1 species